rnacentral:rRNA from 1 species
CCAAAAACUCAGCCCUCCCCAACCCAAUGCAAUUCCCAUUAAACAACAUACUAAAUAAAACAUUUUCACCAUUUAGUAAAGGCGAUUGAAAAAUGUUUAGGAGCCUUAGAAAUAGUACCGUAAGGGAAAAGUGAAAUAAAAAUGAAAUAAAUAUCAAGCACAACAAAGCAGAGACAUAACCUCGUACCUUUUGCAUCAUGGUCUAGCUAGUCUAACCAAGCGAAACGCAUUUAAGUUUGACCCCCCGAAACCAGGCGAGCUACUUCGAAACAGCCUAAAGGGCCAACCCGUCUCUGUUGCAAAAGAGUGGGAAGAUUUCCAAGUAGAGGUGACAGACCUACCGAGCCUGGUGAUAGCUGGUUAUUCAGGAAAAGGAUUUUAGUCCUACCUUAAGUUUUUUUAUAAACAAUAUUACACCUAAAGACUUAAGAGCUAUUCAAAUAAGGUACAGCCUAUUUGAAGCAGGAAACAACCUACAACACCGGGUAAUUUUACCUAAGCAAGUGACCAAGUGGGCCUAAAAGCAGCCACCUUUUAAAAAGCGUUAAAGCUUAACCACAAUGCUUUCUAAUUUCCUCAAAACCCAAAAACCCUUAAUCACUACUGAAUGAAUCCAUAACCUUAUGGAUUACCUCAUGCUAGAACUAGUAAUAAGAAGAAGAACUUCUCCUAAAUGCAAGCGUAAGCCGAAACGAACCACUCCCCGGCAAUCAUCGUCUUUGAGCCACUAGUAGUAACAAACCUAGAAAAACCUACUCAUCUCAAUCUUACGUCAACCUUACACCAGAGCAUUUCAGGAAAGAUUAAAAAAAGAGGAAGGAACUCGGCAAAUCAUCAACCCCGCCUGUUUACCAAAAACAUCGCCUCCUGCUACACAUAGGAGGUCCAGCCUGCCCAGUGACCAAGUUAAACGGCCGCGGUACCCUAACCGUGCGAAGGUAGCGCAAUCACUUGUUCUUUAAAUGAGGACUAGUAUGAACGGCAUCACGAGGGUUACACUGUCUCCCCCCUUUAAUCAAUGAAACUGAUCUCCCCGUGAAGAAGCGGGGAUAAAUAUAUAAGACGAGAAGACCCCAUGGAGCUUUAAACCCAGCAUCAACUGCCCAAACUACACCAUAUAAAACAAGCAGAUUCUGAUCCCUGGUUUUCGGUUGGGGUGACCACGGAGCAAAACAAAACCUCCACGACGAAAGGAACACCUUCCUAAUCAAAGAGCUACAACUCAAUGAAUCAACAAAUUGACAUAACUGAUCCAAAUUAUUUUGAUCAACGAACCAAGUUACCCUGGGGAUAACAGCGCAAUCCAUUUCAAGAGCUCCUAUCGACAAAUGGGUUUACGACCUCGAUGUUGGAUCAGGGUAUCCCAGUGGUGCAGCCGCUACUAAAGGUUCGUUUGUUCAACGAA